AUCCUUUGGUUCAUGAGCGUAAUGACUGAGUGCUUAUGCUGUGUGCGUGAGAUACGCCCACCUCAAAUCUUGUUAUGAUGUCAGAAUAUUACCCAUCUACU
rfam:Cavia porcellus supercont2_15 genomic scaffold, whole genome shotgun sequence.